AUGAGAGGCCCGGGGAUAUUGGAUCUGAUUGGCAUCAUAACUGAAGCCAUUUGCGCUUUGAUAUGGGUAGCCACUGUAAAUUGCGGAGCUGUCGUAGUAGGUUGCCUUUUGCAUCUCGCCGUUUCCCAAUAUUUAUUUCAGAAACUGACAGGGUCUUGACACCCGUGUAGAAUAACAUUGGCACCCCGUGGUCACGUGACGCCUCUCCGCCAAUGGCCUCCUCGGGUGAACCUAGGGUUACAAGAAGCACUGUGAGAGGAAGAAAUGGUGGCGAUCCAUCUUACUUUUCAAUACAAGGCUGACACGGGAGACUAUGGAGGCAAGAUAGGGCCAACAGUCCUGUAGACUAUUACCGUUUACCUUAUGGCUUACACGGGGCACAAAGGCACGAACUAACCUUGCAUUACCAUCUGUGCCGAACAACAUUAAAACAAAAACCUUUUCAAAAGAAUUUCAUAUUGCUAAAUCAAUGUAAGGAUCUAACAAGAAACUGCUUGACAUUUUAAACCUAUGAUACUAUUAAGAAUAAAAGAGUUACAGCAUGGAGAAAAGGGCUUUAAGUGCAAAAAGGGGGGCCUGCAGGGAAAGCUUGUUAGUGGGUUACCACACAGGAAAAUAAUAUUUCUGUUACAUUGUUAUUCUACCAACAGGGCUGUCAACAGUGGAUCUAGUUUCCUUGUAGCAGCUGAAAACAUCCCCCGUGUCCCGCAAACGUUUCAGCGCAUUUGAGUUUGUUUCACCAUGAGUUAAAAAAUAGCCUCCUUCAGUGAACAGCCACCUGGCACAAACCAAAAACAACCGCAUUCUCUCCUUCUCUUUUUUCUUUUGUUUUCCUUUCUUUCUUGUUCUGUCUCCCUUUGCGUGGUGCAACAUAAAUGGAAAGGGCCACGAGGAAACCUGAAAAACCGGGCGGGUAUCCGUGCAUCUCCAUGACCAGACUGUGAACUUUUUCCUCGCAGGCCCGGUAGUAAUGGCUGCUGUCGGUGCCGCCUGGGCAGCGGCUAGUCGCGGUGAUAUAUGGGGGGGUCAGUGAGCCGGCACGGCACGGCUCUGCUCGGGGGGAGAGACCAGGCCACCGGUUCCAAGGCGCAUGGAGACGCGAGGACGGCACACCCAGAGUCUGCUGCUGAAGCACCGUAACUCACGCAGGUGGAGGCUGUCACUGGGAUUACUCGGCUCGACCUGACCGUGCACUGGAGCCUCAUCCAACCUUGCCUUUCGCCACCGCACCUGAACUCCCCCCUGACUCGGGUGGAGGCACACACAGUCGAGUGGAUGAUCUAAACCAGAGGCCCUCAGACUAACUUUUUCACAUCUUGCUUAACUUUUUUUUUUUUUUACAGAAUUGCUUUUUGCACAAAUGUAGAAGUUGAUUGAUCAUGUUUUAAAUCUAAUCUAUUUUAGCAUUAAACAAAUGUUUCAGAGGUAUUCACACAAAUCAAGGCUCCUUAUCACUGUCAGCGCAGAGGAGUACGAGGCGCAGACCUCUGGAUGUCGGCCAGUCGGCGGUCCAUAUCUUCCCACAAUGUUGACACUCGGAGCUCUUAACAGCCAGGCUUGGGUUACCGAUACACUCAGCAGAAGAUAACUCUUUCUGCAAGGUUUACACCGGCCAACAUCAAGGCUAAUGCGAAAUUCAACGCCUUAAGCAGAUAGCAGCCAUCUCUCAUGGACGCAGAGCAGCACUGGGGCGGAUUAUGGGACUGGAGAACUGUGCUUAUAUAGGUGGUUUUAAUAAAGCUAUUUGAUUUUCAUGUUGAAGUCACAGGCUCAUUCUAACUGAAAAUGUGUCCUGAUAAUAUAGCCUAUACAAGUUUUUGGUGCAAUAGCUGCCUAUUCAAUUUUGGAGGUAAGUGCAAAACAGGUCAAAAAUAAUACUAAUACUAAUAUUUAUAAUGAUAGCCUACAGAUUUUACUCACCCUCAGAGCUUUGUUAAUGUUUAACCUGUGUCUAAAUUGACCAUUGUGUGGACUCUAAUGAAAGGCUCUUUCAUGCUGUGUUGUCCUGACAACUUUUAGAAGCAACAGAUCAGCCCUUUGCAUUGUCACCGUCGUUUAAGCACCUUUUCUACCAUUUAUGAAAAUAAAAAGUGAUGAACACUCACAGUCAAAAUUCAGGGAGACAGUUCUUAAGCUUUUUGUUACAUCCCUGAAAAUAAUCAACCAUGCCAACACGAAUGCAGACUUAUUUCUAUAGGACCAUACCACAUUUUAACACUGCGGACACAUUUACUGUUGACAUAUCUCUUCUUUUGGAUUUAAAUGUAUUAAUUUGCACAUUUAGUUUUUUAAAUAGUUUUAGGAUCUUACUUGUUGCUAUGAUUCAAAGGAUUAAUAACUUUUGAGAAAUUGAACCUGCUAUCAUGCAUCAUAGUUUCUAAAAUACUCAAUAUGAUACAGUUUAACACCAAUAUGACCACAUUGUAAUGUCUUAAAUGUUUGGAAAUAAACUGUGAUAAUCAGA